rnacentral:rRNA from 1 species
UACGGAGGGAGCUAGCGUUGUUCGGAUAUACUGGGCGUAAAGCGCACGUAGGCGGCGCCGUAAGUCAGGGGUGAAAUCCCGGAGCUCAACUCCGGAACUGCCCUUGAAACUGCAGUGCUAGAAUCUUGGAGAGGCGAGUGGAAUUCCGAGUGUAGAGGUGAAAUUCGUAGAUAUUCGGAAGAACACCAGUGGCGAAGGCGACUCGCUGGACAAGUAUUGACGCUGAGGAGCGAAAGCGUGGGGAGCAAACAGG